rnacentral:lncRNA from 1 species
AGAUACUUGUGGAUGACUGAGUGGCAGAAGAAGUAGAUAACAUGUUGCAAUGAUAGUCCUGUAGAUAAGAUGGUUUAUGUUUUGGCCUAGUUGAUUUCCUUUGUGGAGUAGCAGUGGCAGGUUCAACAGAAACAAGUUGAGAAGAAAAAAUAACAGGGUCUGGAACAAUAGAAGGAGGAGAUGUAGGUGGCAAAUAGGGUUGAUUAGUAACUUAUGAGAAAAAAGGUGAUGGAGAUGAAAUGAUUUUGGUGACAAAAUCCAAGGAAUUUUUUUGCAUCAAUAGGAGAGUGUUUGUCACUAGUAAGAAAAGAAAAUAUGUUUUCAUAAAAUACUACAUUCCUUGAUAGAAAAAUUUCCCUAGAGUUGAAAUCUAACAAAAGGUANNCUUUCACUCCUNUUUUAAAACNAAGUAAAACACAUUUUCUUGCACGAGG